GAUGAAGAACGUAGCGAAAUGCGAUAAGUAAUGCGAAUUGCAGAAUUCCGUGAGUCAUCGAAUCUUUGAACGCACAUUGCGCCCGCUAGUAUUCUGGCGGGCAUGCCUGUCCGAGCGUCAUUUCAACCCUCAAGCCCCCGGGCUUGGUGUUGGGGAUCGGCGAGCCUCCGCGCCCGCCGUCCCCUAAAUCUAGUGGCGGUCUCGCUGUAGCUUCCUCUGCGUAGUAGCACACCUCGCACUGGGAAACAGCGCGGCCACGCCGUUAAACCCCCAACUUCUGAACGUUUGACCUCGGAUCAGGUAGGAAUACCCGCUGAACUUAAGCAUAUCAAUAAGCGGAGGA
rnacentral:misc_RNA from 1 species